AACUGCUCCGGUGGCCUAGUGGUUAGAGCGUCCGCCUCGGAUGCGGGAGGUAUCGGGUUUGAAACCCUGCCAAGUCA